rnacentral:tRNA from 1 species
GGUAACUUGCCGGAGUGGUUAACGGGACAGAUUCGAAAUCUGUUGGGCUUCGCCCGCGCAGGUUCGAAUCCUGCAGUUGUCG